AAAUAAACCUGAUAGUAGUGGAAAUACUUUUUGAUAUAGUGCUUCGACAAGCUCAGCAUGAUAAUCACAAAAAGAUUGAAACGUAUAGCAGGACUUUCA
rnacentral:sRNA from 1 species